UCUACGGAGAGUUUGAUCCUGGCUCAGGACGAACGCUGGCGGCGUGCUUAACACAUGCAAGUCGAGCGGUAAGGCA
rnacentral:rRNA from 1 species